ACGGGGCCCGCACAAGCAGCGGAGCGUGUGGUUUAAUUCGAUGCAACGCGAAGAACCUUACCAAGGCUUGACAUGCCAGAAGUAGGAACUCGAAAGAGAGACCACCUGUAUCCAGUCAGGAACUGGCACAGGUGCUGCAUGGCUGUCGUCAGCUCGUGCCGUGAGGUGUUAGGUUAAGUCCUGCAACGAGCGCAACCCUCGUCGCUAGUUAAAUUUUUCUAGCGAUACUGCCCGUAAAACGAGGAGGAAGGUGGGGAUGACGUCAAGUCAGCAUGGCCCUUACGCCUUGGGCUGCACACACGCUACAAUGGGUGAUACAACGGGUUGCGAGAGAGCGAUCUGGAGCUAAUCCCUAAAAUCAUCCUCAGUUCGGAUUGCAGGCUGAAACUGCCUGCAUGAAGUUGGAGUUGCUAGUAACCGCAGGUCAGCACACUGCGGUGAAUACGUUCUCGGGCCUU
rnacentral:rRNA from 1 species